rnacentral:rRNA from 1 species
UUAGGAGCUGGAAUGAAAGAGGCGACGAAAUCUAGACUAUUUAAGUUUUAGUAUAAAUUGACAAGCGGGUCAAAAGGCCCGCAUGCACCAGGGGGACGAUAAGACCCUAUAAAACUUUACUCUCAGGCCGGUGGCUAGCAGGAAGUGUGGUGUUUGAGAGUUUAACUGGGGCGGUUAUUAUAGAAACAAUUAUACAUAAAAUAUAUUAUAUAGAUUGGUAGAACUCUCUAGAGAAAUAGAACAAGUUACUUUAGGGAUAACAGCGUGAUCCCCCCAGAGAGUCCUGAUUGGCGGGGGGGCUUACGACCUCGAUGUUGAAUUGGGAAUUCCUAUAUAAGCAAACAUAUAUAUAGACAGUCUGUUCGACUAUUAAACUCCC